GGGAGGUGCAGAUUUGCACGGCUGGCCUCAGCGGGAGGCGCGGAAAUGCAAGCCGAGCCUGCUGGAGUGAAAGCCCCCGAGGCCUGGCACCCCCGAAAACGACCUCCCACCUUAAUCCCUGCCCCCAUCGCCCACGGCCCCCAAGGGCGACCCCUCUUCUUCCUCUUCCUUCAUUUACCCCACCUCGUUACCUACGUGGCUGACCCAAAUUCAAAGCAUUUUGCGUAUAUAUAAUUUUUUUUCUUUUCUGCUAUGUCUUUUUUUUUUGGGGGGGGGGGUGAGUUGGGGGGAGAAAUCCUCUCUAGAGCCGUAAGCGGAUCGGCCACACGGAGGAAGCAUUUGGGGGCUCAGGAAGAAAUUAGCGCAGCUCCAUCCCUGUACGGACUACAUAACUUUUAAACUACUGGACUCAAAGGAUCCACAUACACACAGGUACAGGAAAUACAGCCAGACCAAAGCCUUUUCAGACCCGAGCUGACCGGAAGACGUUGCCUUUCAUUCAUUCAUUCUGCCCGCGUCUGUGGAGUCCUUUACUAGGCGAGAAGCCCUAGAAGAGAAGUUGGACAUUUUUUAAAGGUCCCUGCGCUCUCCAAGAAGAGGAAAUAGAUGCUCAAGAGUGAGCUACCGAGAGAAUCGGAUCUGGCGCCUCCUAACGCAGCUGGCAAACACGCGAAGGUGAUCAGACAGAUAAGUGGAGAGGAAGUGGCUUCUCCAUCAGCGAUCAGAUGUGAACCAUCAGCUCAGUGUUGGUCACCCUAUGAGACAGCUCCCCCCUCACUCACCUUGAAGUUUCCUCUCCUAUCUUUCUGUAUCUUUUUCCACCCACCCUCCAAAGACUACUCUUGAAGUUUGUUUUAAUCCAAGUCCACUUAACUGGCAAACAUCAAAAUUUUUUCCAAACUGAAAUUGCCCACCUUGUCUUAAUGGGGGUGGGAAGGUUUUUGCCUUUAGCCUGUGUCAAGAACCAGGGACUAUUUUAUUUGCUUUUUUCACUUAAGAACCCUUUAAGGUAAAUAGUUUUGCAAAUAAGGAAAGUGCGAUUCAGAAAGGGAAAGCCAGUCCCUCAAGAUCACACAACUUAUAAAUGGGAUUGCUGGGGCUCAAACUGGAGCCUGCCUCUGCCAUCACAUCCACUUUUGGAUACUGGCCCUCUUAACUGCUCCCACAUAAUGAGAUGAAGAAGUGAAGUGAAGUCAUUCAGUCGUGUCCAACUCUUUGCGACCCCAUGGACUGUAGCCCGCCAGGCUCCUCCGUCCAUGGGGAUUUUCCAGGCGAGAAUACUGGAGUGGGUUUGCUAUUCCAUCUCCAGAGGGAUCUUCCCUGACCAUGCAGUGGGCUGGAAGGUCAUGAGUUAAGUGCAGUAAAGCAAAAGUGUGAAGCAAAACACUUGAUCUUAAUUCUCUUUCCUUCCCGAAGAUCUUUCUGUCUCCCCAUGUGGUCGGUCUCAUAGUAUCCCCCAAAAGCUGGUGUCAAGAGAAGACCCAAUGGCGGACACCUUAGUGUAAAAACAGUUACGUCCAUAUAUCACCCAGAUGGGGAGUUCCUGGC
ensembl:lncRNA